rfam:Brassica napus, WGS project CCCW01000000 data, contig: 17096
GAGCCAAUGAGGAGAUCAGAUUAUAAAAAGAACACCAUCUUUCGGGACUGAUUAUUUAUUGAUGUUACUUCUGCAAUUCUGAGGCUU